GUCCUGUAUUGGAUAGUUGCCCCUCACUGAUUUUUAAUUCAGUGGGGGGAGGAAAGUCCGAACACAGCGAUCCCUUUUUCUAGGGUGGGAAUAGUAGUGGGUAACACCCACAUAUAGCAAUAUAUAGGUGCGAACAGAGACGUUUUGUGGUGAAAGCCCCAGAACAUCCCCCACCAAUUUUACGGUUGGUGGGGGAUGAGUUCUACGGUAACGUAGAAAAUGAAACGGCUAAAUCCUUACUUCUGUGCAAGAUCGUGUUCCCCACCCAGAUUCUGGGUGGGGGGAGAAUCGCUUGAGUCCUAGAGCAAUCUAGGACCUAGAUAAAUAACUAUCACCCUGAACUUUUUGUAAAGGGCACAGAAUUCGGCUUAUAGAUACAAGACCAAA
rfam:Peregrinibacteria bacterium GW2011_GWF2_33_10 TR28_C0037, whole genome shotgun sequence.